GUCAAGAUGGCCAAGUGGUCUAAGGUGGCAGACUCAAGUUCUGCUCCUCUCAAGAGGGCAUGGGUUCAAAUCCCACUUCUGACA
rfam:Selaginella moellendorffii unplaced genomic scaffold SELMOscaffold_49, whole genome shotgun sequence.